rnacentral:rRNA from 1 species
UACGGAGGGUGCGAGCGUUAAUCGGAAUCACUGGGCGUAAAGCGCGCGUAGGCGGCUUUUCAAGUCAGGGGUGAAAUCCCGCGGCUCAACCGCGGAACUGCAUUUGAAACUGUGCUUCUUGAGUGCUGGAGAGGCAGACGGAAUUCCUAGUGUAGCGGUGAAAUGCGUAGAUAUUAGGAGGAACACCAGUGGCGAAGGCGGUCUGCUGGACAGUAACUGACGGUGAGGCGCGAAAGCGUGGGGAGCAAACAGG